GCAAAGCCCAACCCAAUCGAAUAGUCUAUUUCCCUGGAGAUCCUCACAACCACCAAAGAAUUAAAGUCAACCACGAGAAGGGGUUCGCGAAGGCAACUUCUCCAGACUGGAAGCAAUUCUCAUUGCAGUUUCUUAUUUGAUAUCCCUACAAGUUUUCAAGCAGAAGCUCCUUUAGAGUGUAACCGGAGGAAUGAACACACCUGCCCUAAUAGUUAUUAGUACUGCCACAGCUGUGCCACUUGUGAAAGCAGAGUCUUGUUUUAUCCCAUUUGAUCUUGUUUAUACUGGGUUUCUUUAACAUUGUUUUUGAUGAUUACUCUGAUAGUUGGUGCAGUAGGAGAAGCCUGAGGAGCAUGCCUAGUCUGAUGUAGAGGAAAUAAUCAUAGAAGUAGCAGCAAGAGCACAAGGAUUAUAGUUAUCUUCUGUUCUUCACUCAUAUUUGUUGUCAUCUUGCUCUCAAGAAGAUGCUCGAAGACAACAGGAAACAAAUCAUGUUCAUGGGCUGUCAGAAACCAGUACUUUUGUUUGACAGGUUUGAUAUUAUUGUUAUUGUUGAUCUCCUGAAAUCGCAAAUUGUCGACAAUUAUUAUCAUUAAAAGACCUUCUAAAUUGCUACGGAGCUUUUUUCUUUUGGGAAGCUAAAUUGCUACGGAGUUAAUCUUGUAUUUGAGGUUCUUUAUUUGUUUGCUUCACUUCGUUAUUGUGAACUGAUUGGUUCUUUAUUCGAGUCAAAACAAAACUCCUAGUA